GGACUUAUAUGAUAUUUACGCCAGCUAUUCCUUUUGAUUAACAUUACCAGGUCCCAUUGGUAUCUAUCAGUCAUCAACGCCAGAAAAACAUGAGAUUCAAGUAUUGUACUCUCUUGGUGUUUGGGUCAAACAGAGUGACCAUGCUACUACGGUAACUAUCCGUUAUUUUUUUGUCCUCUUGACAUGUCUUUUGUUUUCCUCAAUCUCUACUCUUUUUUCAUAUGAAAUAGUUACUCGGAAUUGAGAAUUGUUUGAAAUUUGGAGAAAAGAGUCUGAAGGUUAAUAAAGAUCAUAAGUGCACCGAUCUCAAUGUUAUGAAAGGCAGUAGAACAGUUUCAGGAGGCAAUGCAAAACAGAUGGGUAAGCACUUGCCACAAAUUGAAAUUAUUGUGGUUGGUAUUCAUGAACACAAAGAUAUCGUGUAAUAGAAAUUAUUGUCAAAAAUCUUGAUAAAAAUAUGUGGUGCAUCUAUUAGCCGAUGCAUGCAUGUGGGUAUAAUGAAAGGCAAUUGCUUGUUUAAAUAGUUUGUUUACUCUAAUGCUAAAUUAUAUGGAAUAUUGGACAGGAGAUACAUUGUCUAAUAAUUUCACCCAGGUAUUUCAUUUUCAUACAUGAUCUCAUUAUUUUAUCUCAAAAUAUUAUACCAAAGUUGAUUCUUUUAAUAUUUUGCAAUAGGAUAUGAAACACUUUCAAAAUUUGUUGUCAUAUUUCUCGAGUCGGACAUGAAUAAGUUAAAGGGAAACCCUUCCUAUCUGUAGUAUGAAGAAAAGCGAUCGACAUAUCACUAGAAUGUCGUCGAUUCGUUCGAAAUCUGACGGUCAAGAUUUUGCUUCGUAUGUAAAAAAAGAAACAAAUCCCACAUCCACCCGCAAGCCGCAAAUCCCACCCAUAAUCCUCUCCCGGUCUCCCCCGUGAUUCUGUCGUCCCUAAUCGCCUGCCCCGCCCAAAGCUGCGGAGCUUUUCCUCCACCUCACUCGCCUCUCCCCCAACGAGCCAUGCUACCACCUUGCAUCACGGCUUCACCAGCCAGCUCCUCCCCCUGGUCCGGAUCUACUUGUCGUCGAGCAGACUGGAUGCCCCAUCUUCCUCUCCACCAAUGUGACCCCCGGGCGACGGUGCUAUGGGAUCAUGCCCCCAUCCUCAACUACGAAUCGUGCUUCGCCAGGCUACUCAUCGAUUGAAUUGACUCCGUUCGGGGUAACCCCGUCGGCCCACCAUCCUCGAUACAACAAUUGAGGAACCUCAUCAUCCUACCAUCCUGGCUUUAGGCGACUAUGGCCAUCAUCCCCACUUUGUUUCUGUUGCAUCACCUGCUUGCCGGAAAGAUCAACCGGUUGCAUGAGUACUGAGUACCUAAGUUUUCGGUCCUCUCAUUUCUACAAUCAUAGUUGGCCUCUAACGUAUUGUUGCCUGGUAUAACUUUGAACAUCUUGGUUUAUUCCCUGCUUCCAAUUAAGAUGAAUCGUACUGAAAUAACAUAUUUGCAUGCUUCCUGCAAAUGGUGUUUCAGAAUUACACUUCAUGUGCUUCUUCGAUUUAUAAGGAUUUCAUCCAUACUUCCUGCGUUUUAUUUUACAAAUUUUCUUCUUCUCCUUGUUAUGACCAAUCAGCAGUUGCCUCCGUCCUUCUCUAUUUUUCAAAAUCUUGUGCUUCCAACUUAGAUGAGUAAUGAUCAGAUAUCACCUUUUCACACUUCUUACUUAUACAGAUUCCAAAAUUUCUACUAUCUAGAUAGUUUGCUUCUAUAUAGCUCAUUCCCUUUUUUGGUGAAUUAGGGAAGUAGGUGGUAGAAACGUGCAUCUCCAGGUUGCUGCGUAUUUUUUUAAUUUCCAUUUCAAUGCUCGAUGCUUCUAAUUAAGAUAAAUCAUAUUGACAUGAUACAUUUUUGUUCUUCCUUCUAUGAGGGUUAGGAGAGGCGCGGAUCAAUGGGAGGAUUUGUGUCUUCCCUUUUUCCUCUUUGUUGUCUAUGUUCGGAGAUGAAGGGGGCAUACACGGUCGAUUGCACUAAUCAGCCUCCAUACCAUCCUCAUCCAGCCUUGGUCCUGACUCUCCUCAUCAAAGAAGUAUGUCAAGAUUGCAUCUAUACCAUGCUUCGAGCUUUCCAUGCUUCGUACAUAUAGUACUUAUGCAACAUCUGUCCGUACAAUUUUCUUAAUGUUUACCCUGUCAAUACCGAGUCCAAUUUGCUUCAUACAUACUCAACUUGUGCUUCUAUGUUGUGUUUUGUUUUGAUCAGUCUCCAUGAAUCACACGUAACUUGUAGGCGUCAUAUGUUUACUAAUCAAUGACUAAAUCAUGCUUCUUAAAUUUCACAUAUAUUAUGGGCAAGAUGCAGGUCACUCCCUUCCUUGUCCUAAUUUGCAUGACUACGCAAAAAUAUAUUUUUACCCCCAUUUAACAAAAAUAUGCUUCCACUAUACGGAAAUUAUGUUGAGACACAUCAAUAUGAUGCAUCCAAUUUUCAUGAUUUUCAUACUUGUGCUACUUGACGAUGCACAGUUAUGCUUAUUUCUUACUAUGGUUUACUUCAUUUUCUUCACACUUGUGCUUCUACAUUGUGUUCAAUUUGCUUCAUUGCAUCCUUCAUAUUGUUUCUAGGCAUCAUCUUUGUAUCCAAAUAAAACUAAUCAUGCUUCCUUAAUUUCUGCAAGGCUAACAAGAGUGGAAGAUCAUGCUUUCCCGACGGUGAGCAUGUCAUGGUCAUCGAUGGUGGGCAUGUAGUGUGACAUGAGAUUGAUCAUCUCCAGUGCCCAAUGUUUUGUCAUCGUUUUGGAAGUAAACUAGCAAGGCAAACACUCGGUUGUCCAAGUUCAAGGGUGUCAUUCCCUCAUUCGUGCCAGCGUGGUUGCUCUCGACCAUGUAAUUAUAUAUUAUUGUUUCUCAAUAUGUUACUAUGGCAGUCAACUUUUGCUUCAACCGUUGUUAGAUUAUGCUUCAACCAACAUUAAAGUAUGCUUCAAACAAUGUCCUGCUGCCUCUCUUGGUAAAUUGUAAUGACAUUUACUUAUUUUAUUUUUUUGAACUAUGUUGGUGUGUGCUUCAUUGCUUGUCUCUUCUCAUGGGUGCUUCCAUUGUAAAGACAUUUUGCUGCAAUGUUUCAAGCCGUGCUUGUUAG
rnacentral:lncRNA from 1 species